AGGAUGAACGCUGGCGGCGUGCUUAACACAUGCAAGUCGAGCGGUAAGGCCCUUUCGGGGGUACACGAGCGGCGAACGGGUGAGUAACACGUGGGCGACCUGCCCUCAGCUCUGGGAUAAGCCUGGGAAACUGGGUCUAAUACCGGAUAUGACCUCUGAGGGCAUCCUCUGGAGGUGGAAAGGAUCCUGGCUAGGGAUGAGCCCGCGGCCUAUCAGCUUGUUGGUGGGGUAAUAGCCUACCAAGGCGACGACGGGUA
rnacentral:rRNA from 1 species